AACUGAUACUACCUGCGGGAACCUGCGGAGGGAUCAUCAUUGAAUUCAUAUUUCUCUACAAACCCUGUGAACUGUACGGUUGAGCGUUUGGCGGGUAGGGGAAGAGGGGGGAGCUGCUGUGCGCCGCGCUCCCUUUCUCUCUCUGUGCGUGUCGCGCCGUUAAGGCGUGCGUGCGCCCGCCACCUGCUCGCAUUUUAAACAAACUCUUUUUAAGCAUCCUUAACUGAAACAACAAAUUUU
rnacentral:misc_RNA from 1 species